rnacentral:rRNA from 1 species
CCUACGGGGAGCUGCAGUGGGGAAUAUUGGACAAUGGGCGAAAGCCUGAUCCAGCCAUGCCGCGUGUGUGAAGAAGGCCUUCGGGUUGUAAAGCACUUUCAGUGGGGAAGAAAGCCUUGGGGCUAAUACCCUCGAGGAAGGACAUCACCCACAGAAGAAGCACCGGCUAACUCCGUGCCAGCAGCCGCGGUAAUACGGAGGGUGCGAGCGUUAAUCGGAAUUACUGGGCGUAAAGCGCGCGUAGGCGGUCUGAUAAGCCGGUUGUGAAAGCCCCGGGCUCAACCUGGGAACGGCAUCCGGAACUGUCAGGCUAGAGUGCAGGAGAGGAAGGUAGAAUUCCCGGUGUAGCGGUGAAAUGCGUAGAGAUCGGGAGGAAUACCAGUGGCGAAGGCGGCCUUUUGGACUGACACUGACGCUGAGGUGCGAAAGCGUGGGUAGCAAACAGGAUUAGAUACCCUUGUAGUC